GGUUCUUUCUCUACCACGCACAGAAAGUGCUAGAGUUUUCUUCUUCUCCAUAGAUGACGAAUGCCUAAAGAGGUACGACACAACUUCUUCAGCCCCUUUUGUAUAUUUUUCCCUUUUAAACCCUUACUGGACUUGAGUAAGGAGGAAAAAAUGCUGCCUGGUUAUGAAUGCUCUGUAGUCAAAAUUUGCCAUCCUUUCUUGUGGUCAAAGUUGUGGUGGAUCCCAUGAGAGAGUCCUGGUAAAAAAUAAAGGCUGAGCAGCUUUCUGUCUUUCCUUUCUUUCAGAUAAUUGCCUCAUAGCUAUAGGAACUUUUAGAGCUUAGCAAAAAUAUAGUCACUAGACAGGUUACUGAGACAUUUAGGAUCCUUUCAGGUAGGUCUAUCACCUUUAACUUUUUCCUGUCUUUCUGGUGUUAAUCUGAGGAAUGCCGAGUGCUCUUGUCAGUGACAUAUGUGCGUGCGGUUCUUCAUCCUAAUGAAUCUGGGGCUUUCUCUUCUGAAGCCAGUGAAUUUUCGAUUUAAAAACAAAGACAACAACAACAAAAAAAACCAUACACAGCCCCCAAAAAUUACACAGGCCACCAAAACAAUUGCUUGUUCUAUUUUGUAGAAUAUAGUCUCAAGACAGGCUUAAAAGACGUUUGUUUCUUGAGACUUGCUAGAUAACGCGGAUGAAAUGUAUGGCUGUGUUCAUACAGUUACUGCCCUGCAAUCUUCCAGCCCGUCUGAUUUGCAGGGUGUGUCAGAAUGGAGAUCUCAGCCCCUGGCAGGCAGCGCUUCUGGGGCCAGCUGUGGGAUCCUGCUGCUGAGCAUUUAAUGCAAGAGCUGCUGUUUCACUGCAAUUUAGAUUGCAGCAUGUUCAGGGAGACAGCUGCUGCCUUUCAUUUUUCUUAGUACACCAGGCUGCAGUAGGGAACAUUUCUGCUGGAGCCAACAUGUGGUGGGGGAGAAGAGAAUAGGAGGGACGUGGAGGAUAGAGCUUCUGACUUUAUCGUGUUGUUCAUUCAUGAUUGUUGGGAGCAGCAGCCGAAUCAGAAGGGUUGAACCCUAUUGAUUGGUGUUGUGUUUUCUUUUGUGCACAGGGCCUAGAGUUAUUUUGUAGAUCUGUAGAGCUCAGUGAAGACAAAGUGGGUUGGGAAGACAUAUGUAGAUUUAUUGCUUGAGGAGCAGCUAGCUAGCUAGAUGUAAGGGAAGUGUUUAAGAGAAACAGUGACUUUAGAGACUUCUGCAAGUAGUGGAUUCAAAAACUUCUCCUAGGAAUAUGUUAGAUUUUCAUUAAUUUCUGGAUCGUCUAAGGAAGCAUAAGAAUUCCAUAGGGAAACUGAACCCAAACUAAUAAACCCUUUCUUGAAAAGAA